AUGGUUCGACCGCAACCCCACCCUCGAUCGCAUCCCGUUGCUAACACGGCCCAUGAACCAGAUACAUCGCCACCAACUCAGCCCACGAUCAGAUACAUCUCCACCAACUCAGCCCACGAUCACGCACCGGCCAAAGAAAAACAACAGUUACGACUCAAUCCACGAUCACGCACCGGCCAAAGAAAAACAACAGUACCACGAUCACGCACCGGCCAAAGAAAAACAACAGUACUCCAUGCAUUGACCAAAAAAACAAACCAAAAAAAAGACACGUCCCAGCCAAACCAAACAAAGAAACAAGUGCGGAAGCUCCAUCGAGCCGUCAUCGCACGUCACCAGGAACGCCAGUUUUUCCUCUCGCUGGACCCAUACUCGCCCUCCGGCCACAUCCGCCGGAACGGAACCAGUCCGGCCACGCCGGAACCAGCAACCUCUGCUCCCGUCUCAUGGUGUUGCUCACCAAGGCCGUCUGUUCCUGCACCCAUCUCCUCUCAUGGUGUUGCUCACCAAGGCCGUCUGUUCCUGCACCCAUCUCUUCACGCCGCAGGUACAUCCUCCUGCCACCAUCCUCACCUGUUGCCUACAAAUAAAAUGCAUUCAUGA
rnacentral:rRNA from 1 species